CAAGGAAUUUUCUGCAAUGGGCGCAAGCCUGACAGAGCAACGCCGCGUGGGGGAUGACGCGCUUCGGUGUGUAAACCCCUUUUCCCUGGGACGAAGGCGAUGACGGUACCAGGGGAAGAAGGACCGGCUAACUACGUGCCAGCAGCCGCGGUAACACGUAGGGUCCGAGCGUUGUCCGGAUUUACUGGGUGUAAAGGGCGCGCAGGCGGGAUAAAAAGUCAGUGGUGAAAUCCUACAGCUUAACUGUAGAACUGCCUUUGAUACUUUUACUCUUGAGUUCGGGAGAGAGAGACGGAAUUCCAGGUGUAGUGGUGAAAUACGUAGAUAUCUGGAAGCACACCAGUUGCGAAGGCGGUCUCUUGGUCCGACACUGACGCUGAGGCGCGAAAGCGUGGG
rnacentral:rRNA from 1 species